GCAAACUUGGUCAUUUAGAGGAAGUAAAAGUCGUAACAAGGUUUCCGUAGGUGAACCUGCGGAAGGAUCAUUAAUGAAAACUUGCAGUUCGAGCUGGUUUCUCGCAAGGGAAACAUUGUGUCUCGCUGCUAAUCUUCAUCCACCUGUGCACUAUUUGUAGGGAAUGAGGUUGAUCUUUGAUCGAAUCUGUAGUUUGGAUUAAGUUCUAAAGCUCUCCUUUGAUUGGAUCUAACUCUCUGAACCUAUGUUUCACAUACACCAUUAUAAUAAGUCUAGAAUGUCUUUUUUUGUCUUCUUGAUUGAAGCAAAAACUUAUACAACUUUCAGCAACGGAUCUCUUGGCUCUCGCAUCGAUGAAGAACGCAGC
rnacentral:misc_RNA from 1 species